UGGGGAAUAUUGGACAAUGGGCGAAAGCCUGAUCCAGCCAUGCCGCGUGUGUGAAGAAGGUCUUCGGAUUGUAAGCACUUUAAGUUGGGAGGAAGGGCAGUAAGCGAAUACCUUGCUGUUUUGACGUUACCGACAGAAUAAGCACCGGCUAACUCUGUGCCAGCAGCCGCGGUAAUACAGAGGGUGCAAGCGUUAAUCGGAAUUACUGGGCGUAAAGCGCGCGUAGGUGGUUCGUUAAGUUGAAUGUGAAAGCCCCGGGCUCAACCUGGGAACUGCAUCCAAAACUGGCGAGCUAGAGUAGGGCAGAGGGUGGUGGAAUUUCCUGUGUAGCGGUGAAAUGCGUAGAUAUAGGAAGGAACACCAGUGGCGAAGGCGACCACCUGGGCUCAUACUGACACUGAGGUGCGAAAGCGUGGGGAGCAAACAGG
rnacentral:rRNA from 1 species